AACCAUAGAAACCUGCGGAGUACCUGCGGAAGGAUCAUUAUCGAGUUGCAAAACUCCAACCCUUUGUGAACAUACCUCAGUCGUUGCUUCGGCGGUGGACGGCCUUUUUUCGAAAAGGCCCGAAGCCGCCGGAGGUUCCAAACUCGUGUUUUGUUUAGUGUAUCUCUGAGCCUGAAAACAAAUAAUCAAAACUUUCAACAAUGGAUCU
rnacentral:misc_RNA from 1 species